ensembl:lncRNA
GGGAAGGAAAGGUAAAAGGAAAGGGACAGAGAAGGGAGAGGGAAAGGAGAAAGGAAGGAGAAUGGAAGGAAAGGGAAGGAAAAGGAAUAGGAUCUCAGAAAUUAUUGAGGCAAUUAUGUGAGCGCAGUACAUGAGAAGUAAUCCCAGCUGCUGGGAGCUGGGGGGAAGAGAAAUCAUGGUGUGAUCCAAAGGGGCCCCAGAGAGCGCACGCCAGCAGCGGUGACCUGGUUUGCAGAUGGAUCCAACGCUCCUCUGCUUCCAAGCCCAACACACCGCCCUGCUCCUGGGUGUCAGCGCUGGCAUCGUGCACUAAUCUGUUUAUUUCUGUUUGCUUCCUUUCUUAUUUUUCCUGUCUUUUGAAUUAAAAGCUAAUCCUCCGUGCUGAUUCUCAUAAUUUCGAGCCAUGCAUUGAACACAGGAAUUCUUGAGCAGGUUUUUGCUCCCCUGGCAGCAUCACUUUCCCCAUUGCACAGGAAACCAAAGGCAGACAGCAGAGCAAGAAAACACAACACAGCUCCUGCAUCACGCCACCUCCUCGGGCUUCCAGCACAUCUCAACACAGAACUAGAGCAAAAGGGCAGAUUAUUUAAAGCCGUCACAUGUAGGCCAAUUUUCGCUGCAGUUCCUUUUGGCUCUGAUUUUGCAGGCCCCAGCGGAGUGGUGAAGUCAUGAAUAAAUGCAAGCAAACCGAGCUGAUCCACUCUCAUUUGAGCAGCGGAGUUUACUCGCCCCAUGCUGCUUCAGCUGGAACACCAGAAGCAUCCCUUCCGUUUGGCUUCGACCGGAGCUGAGUGACUGCCGCGCUUGUCAUCGUGUGGUCAAAACAGUGCCCGACGCCAAACAGGAGCUCUUGGCAUUUGCUGCGGAUGAAUAACCGACGGGUAACGGUGCCGUUGCGUGAGAUCACCCAAGAGAAACCAAGGAGAGGUUUCCCCAGGACACAGCUGGCACAACCACGCUGCCUUCCCCCGUGUAGUGGAGCACACAUCCCUACGCACUGAGCUGAGGCAACCGCCCGCCCUCCGGCGUUGCGCUUUUGUUGGUGGCUCCCAUCUCCCCCAGUACCCAUCGCCUUGUGUUGAGCGAGCUCCGUGCUCUCACCGCCCUUACCUCACUCUUAGCAACCCUGCUAUUUAAAGUCGCAAUCUGUUGCAGCGAAGCAGCCUGGCAGUCUAUAAACAAGCUGUUAUGACCCCGCUGCAGG